rnacentral:lncRNA from 1 species
UUCCAGGAAGAAGAAACAACUGGCAUCAGCAAAGAUCUGGAGUCAUGAAACUACCCCCGAGGAUGGCUGGGAAAAGAAGAUCCAGGAACUGCUGGUGUCUGUACUAGUUACCGCCCUGAUAGGAAAGGCAGAAGCCAUAGCUCUCACCAAACCUCCAGCAUUUAAACUUUGCUGUGGAGUCUACGUGACCCCACCACGAGGUGACCCUCACCUUUCCCUCCAUACCUGGGGAGACAGACAUGGCAGUGGUCACUGAACCCUGGGAUGACACGCUACCUCAUCCUUUAUGACACCCUUUGAUAUGUUGCUUUUGAUGCAUUUCUUUGUAUCCCAUUUGGUUUCAUUUUUAGCAAUAAACUCAUUCUUGGUACAAAAAAAAAAAAAAA